rnacentral:ribozyme from 1 species
CUUAUUUUUUUUUUGCUUGGUAUCUUCUUUUCCCUUCUCUCUAUCUCAAUGCCGGUGUAUCUGCAAUCUGAUGACGUUAUGAUAAUAUGAAAUAAAUCUGAAAUGAAAUAUUGAAUAAUGGAAAAC